rnacentral:rRNA from 1 species
UACGAAGGGGGCUAGCGUUGUUCGGAUUUACUGGGCGUAAAGCGCACGUAGGCGGUUUGUCGCGUCGGGAGUGAAAUCCACUGGCUUAACUGGUGGCUUGCUUCGAUACGGGCAGACUGGAGGUAUGCAGGGGAGAACGGAAUUCCUGGUGUAGCGGUGAAAUGCGCAGAUAUCAGGAGGAACACCGGUGGCGAAGGCGGUUCUCUGGGCAUGUCCUGACGCUGAGGAGCGAAAGUGUGGGGAGCGAACAGG